ensembl:snoRNA Gm25096 small nucleolar RNA SNORA17
ACUGCCCCUAGAGGCAUUGGAGGCAUGGCUGUGGUGUCACACGUGUGCCACUAGGUAGCUAAGAGAAUCUAUGUCUAUGCUCAAUGUUCUGACCUAUGAACAUCUGAAAAAUAAAAGCCUAACAUU